GUACACGCUGUGACUAGCAUAUCAAUAAGCGGAGGAAAAGAAACUAACAAGGAUUCCCUUAGUAACGGCGAGUGAAGCGGGAAGAGCUCAAAUUUGAAAUCUUCAAGGUUUUACCUUGACGAAUUGUAGUUUAAAGAAGUGUUUUCUGUUGAAGUUUUGGUAAAAGUUCUUUGGAAUAGGACAUCAUAGAGGGUGAGAAUCCCGUAUUUGACCAUUACUUUUCAACUUUGUGAUACACUUUCAAAGAGUCGGAUUGUUUGGGAAUGCAGUCCAAAAUGGGUGGUAAAUUUCAUCUAAAGCUAAAUAUUGGCGAGAGACCGAUAGCGAACAAGUACCGUGAGGGAAAGAUGAAAAGAACUUUGAAAAGAGAGUUAAACAGUACGUGAAAUUGUCAAAAGGGAAGUGUUUGACACCAGUGUUGUUUUUCUGAAAAUCAAUUAAAGAACUGUUUAUGCUAAGCUGUUUAGACUUUAUCAGCUAACUGUUUAGUUUUGAGCUUUUCUUUAAUGCACUUUUCAGUUAACAAGUCAACAUCAAUUUCUUUUGCUGUAAAAAAGCUUGAGGAAGGUGGCUUGAGAUUCGUCUUAAGUGUUUAUAGCCUCUUGCCUAUGCAGUCGGAGAGAUUGAGGUCUGCAGCGUAGAUCCUUCGGGGCUAAAUGCAUUUGUGCUAAGUUAUAGCAUUUUAUAGACAACUUGUUGACUAUGAUUUGUCUUGUAGCUUACCCGCUUAUGUUAUUUUACCUACGCUUAGGAUGUUGAACUACUGAGACAUAGA
rnacentral:rRNA from 1 species